rnacentral:lncRNA from 1 species
UUAGGAAUCUGUUGGGUACAUAUUGAAAAAAUUAAAUCUCUAUCUUGCAGAAUGAGUCAACAUCACUACAUAGUAGGGAUAGAGAUAAAGAAACUAUUGUGAAUGCUCUUAAGAAAUAAAUAUAAAAAAUCUGUUGGGUACAUAUUAAAAAAUAAAUAAAUCUCUAUCUUGCAGAAUGAGUCAGCAUCAAGUAGGGAUAGAGAUAAAUAAACUAUUGUGAAUGCUCUUAUAUGUAUGGAAUGAAGAGUUAAUUUUAGAGGAUAAUGCCAGCUGCUUCUGUUUCCCAUUCUGUUCGGAAACCAUACAUACGAAGUUAAUAUGUGAAAAUAUGAGUGUUAGAUUGCAUGAGACAUGUCAGUAUAUAAAGCAAUUCUGAUGGCAAAUCCUACCCAAACUUACCCAGUGUUCUGUUGUUAUAUACUCAAUGAUCUUGGGUGAUCUUUACUUAAAGUUAAGCCUUGGACGCUGAGUUAGGGAAGUGUCACGUUUAUAUAGGAAAAUGUUGCAUCAGUGCCCCUUGCCUAGUUAAGACAUUGUUGGGUGCGGGUUUAAGGUGGAAAAUUGGUAAUGGUUUAAGUUACUGCCUUUCAAGUGUAAUUUAGAUAAUAAUCUACUGGUGGCUGACCUUAUUACUAUAUAUAGGAGGGAGUUAGGGUUGGACCCGUCACGCCCGAUUUAAGGAUUUGAGGAAUGAAACUGUGCUACAUCCUCCAUUAAUUUCAUGCCCAACGGCAGUUGAUUCCUGGUUUGUGAGCCCACUUGGCUUUCAGUUUGUGAUCAGUUAGCUAAUGGAACCUUUGCAGAUUGGGUCACUUAUCUAUAUCUCAGUCGUCGGAUCGUUCUUACUUAAAUAAUACUAUAAUGGAAGACUGUUGUUUGAUGAGUUGUGAUUUUGAAGAUAUUGUUUUUAGUCAUGUUGGUUGAACUGGAAAUGGAAAUAGAGUAGCUCACGGCCUUGUGGAGUUUACCCGAUUGGAGUUUCAUGUUCGAAAAACAAACAAACAAACAAAAAAAGAGAGUUUAAAUUAGUUAAAAAAUUGGCUCUCAACUCUAAUUCCAAAACUUGUCAAACGUACUUAAUUGUAUUUUAACACUCUAAUUCUACUUGCAUGCCUAACUACACCCUAAUACAUGGGGGCUCUCCUCUCCAUCCUAGAAUGCUGGACUUUUCUAAAGAUUCUUUUAAUACAAGGGUAGGGUGAAAGCAUUAUGUUGAUAAAGAUAAUGUUUUUUUAAUCCAAUGAUCAAUAAUAAUAAUACUCGAGUUAAUAAUUUAACCAAUUAUUAUCAAAUUAUAUAACUUGAAUAUAAUAUAUGUAAAUUGCUUUAUGACCUCAUUGGGCAGGGACAAAAAUCCUAAAUAUAUAGAAUUAAUAUCUAAGACGUGAUAAAUACUUUUUUGGUCACUUUACUUUAGGUCAACUUACAAAUGAGUUCCUAAACUUUUUUUUCUUACAGUCAACUCACUAAACUUUAGUUUUCUUACAAACCGUUACAAAAAUCGUUAAGUCAUGUUGACUUUUAACAGUUUGACCAAUAUAAUACUGAGUUGUAAAAAAAGCGCUGACGUGGCAAUAAUAAUCCAACGUGGAAUAUAAUAAUAAUAAUUUCGAUAAUAAUA